rnacentral:rRNA from 1 species
UUAUGGAUGCACUGGGCGAUUAUCCAACACCAUGUGGUCUUGUUUAACGUAUUUGGCAAGUGAUUGCUUUAUUGCAUGUAGCGAUCGCUAUAAGAUAAAGUGAGAAUUCCUCAGGAAUGAGGAAGCUUGCCACCUUUAUUCAACCAAAUACAGUCUGCCUAAUCAUAUACAUUAAAAAAGUUAAAAACAACUUUUGGCAACGGAUCUCUUGGCUCUCGCAACGAUGAAGAACGCAGCGAAAUGCGAUACGUAUCAUGAAUUGCAGAACUCUGAAUGAUAAAUGUUUGAACGCACAUUGCGCCAGCUUCUGGUUGGCAUGUCUGUCUGAGAAUCUUCAAGUUUCCUCAACUCUGCAAUCUCUGUAAUGAUGAUUAUUGCUACGAGUUGGCUAUUGACAGGCUUUACCAUGCAUUAUAUGCGUGGGCUGUUGAAAGACAUAUUCACAUUAGUCUCUGACAAACAAUUUGACAAACUCAAAUUCAAAAGUCAGCAGACAAACAUGACUUUGGUCUCAGAUCAGACAGGAGGACCCGCUGAACUUAAGCAUAUCAAUAA